CUUCACCGAGCCGAGCAGCAGCGGCCGGUCCUCGGGGCGGUCCUGGCCGUAGGUGGCCAGCAGUGCCUGUGCCUC
rnacentral:antisense_RNA from 1 species